UCCAUUUCAGUCAGUGACAUGCUCUUACUCCUCACCAUCUUCUCCUACAUAUACCAUGUCCAAACCACCACCAAGCCACACAUUCUUUCACACCCAUCAUCUCCAAAUUUAGCUCAAAGCUAUCUGAGUUGUUAUUCCAGAUUCACAUGUUCAUGAGCUCAUACAGACUUUUUUGAACUUCUUCGCACACUAUUUUUAAGUACUCUUUUGAAUUUCUAUGGCAACUUAAGUUUUGUAGUGCAUUAAAGUAAGGAAGUGCUAAGUAUGGUAUUAUUCAAACACUAGGGAAUAGUCAGGCGCUCGAAAAGUUAAAAAAGAGAGUAUUGUAUUACAUUAUGGCAGCUGCUUUGGCUGGAGAUGAAAUUGUAAGGUCCAUGAGCAGCAAGAGGAUGAGUUUCCGGUCAUCCAGCAGCAAGAGAAGCUGGGCCUCAUUGAGCUUGCGUGAGGCUUGGACAGGACAAACAGAUGUGUUUCAGAAGAGUGGGAGGGAAGAUGAUGAAGAGGAGCUGAUGUGGGCGGCAUUAGAGCGGCUUCCAACGUAUGAUAGGUUGAGGAAAGGAAUGCUGAAGCAGGUUUUGGAUAAUGGGAGAGUUGAUUAUCAAGAGGUUGAUGUUACCAAUCUUGGAGUGCAGGACAAGAAGCAUCUCAUCGAGAGUAUACUUAAGGUUGUUGAAGAAGAUAAUGAGAAGCUGCUUCGUAGACUAAGGGCCAGGACUGAUAGGGUGGGAAUUGACAUUCCAAAGAUUGAAGUCAGGUUUGAGCAUUUAUCAAUCGAAGGAGAUGCAUAUGUUGGAGCCAGGGCACUCCCAACUCUGCUGAACUCAUACUUGAAUUCAAUUGAGGCGUUUCUUGGGUUAAUCAAGCUUUUGCCAUCGAAGAAAAGGGUUGUCAAGAUUCUACGUGACGAGAGUGGAAUAGUGAAGCCAUCAAGAAUGACACUGCUUCUGGGACCUCCAGGAUCAGGGAAAACAACAUUGCUGCAGGCACUUGCAGGGAAGAGGGACAAGGAUCUCAGGAUAUCAGGGAGACUCAGUUACUGUGGUCAUGAGUUAUCGGAAUUUGUUCCUCAGAGAACAUGCGCAUACAUUAGCCAACAUGAUCUUCAUCAAGGGGAAAUGACAGUCAGAGAGACAUUGGACUUUUCAGGACGUUGUUUGGGAGUUGGAACAAGGUAUGACCUGCUGACAGAAUUGUCAAGACGAGAAAAAGAAGUUGGAAUAAAACCAGAUCCUGAGAUAGAUGCAUUCAUGAAAGCCACAGCAAUGGCAGGCCAAGAAACAAGUCUUGUUACAGAUUAUGUUCUCAAGAUUCUUGAAUUGGACAUAUGUGCUGACAUUAUUGUGGGUGAUGAAAUGAGAAGAGGCAUAUCUGGUGGACAAAAGAAGCGUGUUACAAUAGGAGAAAUGUUGGUUGGACCAGCAAAGGCUCUUUUUAUGGAUGAAAUAUCAAAUGGUCUAGACAGUUCAACCACUUUCCAAAUAGUCAAGUUCAUGAGGCAGAUGGUUCAUAUAAUGGAUAUGACAAUGAUAAUUUCUCUUCUGCAACCUGCGCCUGAAACCUUUGAUCUUUUUGAUGACAUUAUUUUACUUUCAGAAGGCCAGAUUGUCUAUCAAGGUCCAUGUGAGAACGUACUUGAAUUUUUUGAAGAUGUUGGCUUUAAGUGCCCAGAGAGGAAAGGAGUUGCAGACUUUUUGCAAGAGGUUAUUUCCAAAAAGGAUCAGGAGCAGUACUGGUGCAAAAAGAAUGAACCUUUCCGAUAUACUAGUGUUCCUGAGUUUGUAGAUCACUUUCAUAAUUUUCACAUUGGCCAGCAACUUUAUGAUGAGCUUGGAAUUCCAUAUGAUAGCUCUAAAGCUCAUCGUGCUGCAUUAGUAAAAGAGAAGUAUGGAAUUUCUAAUCGGGAACUCUUGAAGGCAUGCUUUGCAAGAGAGUGGCUAUUGAUGAAGCGCAACUAUUUUAUAUACAUAUUCAAGACAACCCAGAUUACCAUAAUGUCAAUUAUUGCCAUGACAGUGUUCUUUAGAACCGAAAUGAAGCACGGUCAAUUAGAAGAUGGAGGGAAAUAUUACGGUGCAAUGUUCUUCAGUCUCAUUAAUGUCAUGUUCAAUGGAGUGUCAGAACUUGCAUUGACUGUUGUUAGGCUUCCUGUAUUUUUUAAGCAGCGGGAUUUCUUGUUCCAUCCAGCAUGGGCUUUCGGCUUACCAAUUUGGCUCCUCAGGAUUCCUGUCUCAUUGAUGGAGUCAGGAAUAUGGAUCUGCCUAACAUAUUACACUAUUGGGUUUGCUCCUUCUGCUAGUAGGUUUUUCCGCCAAUUAUUGGCAUUCUUCAGCAUCCAUCAGAUGGGCCUAUCUCUGUUCCGGUUUAUUGCAGUACUGGGAAGAGUUCAAGUUGUGGCAAAUACGCUUGGUACCUUUACAUUGUUAUUGGUUUUUGUCCUUGGUGGGUUCAUUGUUGCCAAAGAUGACAUUGCACCAUGGAUGAUAUGGGGCUACUACGUUUCUCCCAUGAUGUAUGGACAGAAUGCCAUAGCCAUCAAUGAAUUUCUUGACAAAAGAUGGAGUACACCCAAUCCGUACCCACUUAUUCCUGAACCCACCGUCGGAAAGGUUCUUCUCAAGGCCAGGGGCAUGUUUGUGGAAGACUAUUGGUAUUGGAUUUGUGUUGGGGCACUCCUUGGGUUUUCUGUUCUUUUUAACAUCUGUUUUAUCAUAGCACUCACAUUUCUAAAUCCUUUAGGUGAUUCUAAAUCCGUUAUUGUUGAGGAGGAUGACAAUAAAAAAAGUGGAAAGCAGUCCUCUAAUGGACAGCUUCAGAUGAGAGGCAUAGAAAUGAGUACAUCUUCAACCGCUCAAGGUAUUGAUAUGGCAGUGAAGAACACUCCAGACAACUCAAUUGGUAGUGGUGCAGAGAAUGCACCUACUAGAAGAGGAAUAGUUCUGCCAUUCCAGCCCUUGUCACUUGCAUUUAAUCAUGUAAAUUACCUUGUCGAUAUACCAGCUGAAAUGAAGGGCCAAGGGAUCGAAGAAAGUCGUCUCCAACUUUUACGAGAUGUUAGUGGUGCUUUCAGGCCUGGUAUUCUAACAGCAUUGGUUGGCGUAAGUGGUGCUGGAAAAACCACAUUGAUGGAUGUGCUAGCAGGAAGAAAAACUAGCGGGUACAUUGAAGGAAGUAUCAGCAUAUCUGGUUACCCCAAGAACCAAGCAACUUUUGCUCGGGUUAACGGUUACUGUGAACAGAAUGAUAUCCAUUCACCCAAUGUUACCGUCUAUGAAUCUCUUGUUUACUCUGCCUGGCUGCGUCUUGCCAAGGAAGUUAAGCAGGAAACUCGAAAGAUGUUUGUUGAGGAAAUCAUGGACUUGGUUGAGCUAAAUUCAUUGAGGAAUUCCUUAGUUGGUGUUCCAGGAGUAGAUGGUCUGUCAACUGAACAGAGAAAGCGACUCACAAUAGCUGUAGAAUUGGUUGCUAAUCCCUCCAUCAUCUUCAUGGAUGAGCCAACAUCAGGCCUUGACGCUAGAGCUGCAGCAAUUGUAAUGCGUACAGUGAGAAACACAGUGGAUACAGGGAGAACUGUUGUCUGCACAAUUCACCAGCCAAGCAUAGACAUUUUUGAAGCUUUCGAUGAGCUACUGUUGAUGAAGAGGGGUGGACAAGUCAUUUAUGCUGGACCCCUCGGUCACCAUUCUCAAAAGCUUGUAGAUUACUUUGAGGCUAUCCCAUAUGUUCCUAAGAUCAAAGAUGGAUAUAAUCCUGCAACAUGGAUGCUAGAAAUCAGUUCUCCUGCAGUUGAGGCUCAACUCGUUGUGGAUUUUGCAGAAAUUUAUGCCAAUUCUGAACUGUACAAGAGGAAUCAAGAACUCAUCAAAGAGCUAAGCACGCCAUCACCAGGAUCGAAGGACCUUUACUUCCCCACCAAAUAUUCCCAAUCCUCUGUAAUUCAAUGUAAAGCUUGCUUUUGGAAGCAAUAUUGGUCUUAUUGGAGGAACCCACGAUACAAUGCCAUCCGGUUAUUCGUAACGAUAGUCAUCGGUGUUCUAUUUGGGCUAAUUUUCUGGAACAAAGGAGAUAAGACGCACAAGGAACAAGACCUGCUGAAUCUACUGGGGGCUAUGUUUGCUGCUGCUCUUUUUCUUGGAAGCACCAACACAGCUGCAGUGCAGCCUGUUGUGGCAAUUGAAAGAACAGUCUUCUACCGUGAAAGAGCAGCAGGAAUGUAUUCAGCUUUGCCUUAUGCUUUUGCUCAGGUGACAGUGGAGAUAAUUUAUGUAGCUAUCCAAACUUUUGUCUACACUCUUAUCCUUUACUCAAUGAUUGGAUUCCAUUGGCGACUUGAAAAGUUCUUGUGGUUUUACUUCUUUAUCUUGAUGUGCUUUAUAUACUACACAUUGUAUGGGAUGAUGGUAGUAGCUCUGACUCCUAGCUACCAAAUUGCCGCCAUUUUUAUGUCCUUCUUCCUAAACAUUUGGAACCUGUUCUCUGGUUUUCUCAUCACGAGGCCGCAAAUUCCAAUAUGGUGGAGGUGGUAUUACUGGGGCUCUCCUGUGUCUUGGACAAUCUAUGGCCUUGUGACCUCUCAAGUGGGUGACAAGACCACUCCAAUUGAGGUACCUGGACAAGGCUAUAUGCCUGUAAAAUAUUACCUGAAGUCUCACUUGGGCUUUGAAUAUAACUUCCUUGGAGCUGUUGUUGCGGCCCAUAUUGGCUUUGUCCUCGUUUUCUUAUUUGUCUUUGCCUAUGGUAUCAAGUUCCUCAACUUCCAAAGGAGAUAAAAAAAAACAAGGAUUCAAGCUUCAACAAUGAUAAUAAGAUUUUGUUUGAGCAAUUGAUCUAGCAGAAAGAUAUGGUUGGCUUAGUAUUUUUUUCACCAACUUUGUAAAUUAAUGACUUUUUAUCAUUAAAAUAUUCACAAAUUCAGGUCCUUGUACAAAAAAAAAAAUUAUGCUAAGAGUUUGAAUUGGCUUUUUAAUUUUAAUUUUUUAAUUUAUUUUUGGGUAAAAUUGAGCUGUGCUCAUAAGAAGUAUGAGCUCUCACUGGUUAUUGUACAUAGCAAAAAAUGCAAUUUACUCCCUAUACUCUUCUUGUUU